AAGAUAAUCAUGGUCAUAGUUGAUUUUUAUCAAAUAACCCAUUCUCCCACAACUUCAGUAACUGCCGCCGCUUCUCUUGAAAAAGUGCAGGCGCUUCUCACCCGGCGAGUAAAACCACUACCAUCUUUCUCUCUCUGCUCACCCGAUGCCCAUCAGCCAUAGAGCAACUUUUCCAUCUAAUUUCAUCAUUCACAAUUUCGAGUUGCGUGACUUACCGACGACCAUCGUCCUGCAGCGAUAUUUGACGGCCGCCAUUAGAUAGAACAACCACCAAUUUCUCCCCUUUCUCAGCCAAUUGAAAUAGAAACAACAUUGUCAUCUCCUAUUUCUUUUAUAUUUUGUCUUUUGCUCCCAAUCCAAUUCAUUUAAUGGUGCUCUUUUUCAACUCUACCGCACCACAAAUUUCACGUGCUAUGCUCCACUGCGCUGCGCUCCUGCAUCAUCAACAUUGAAUUUUUCCAAGAAGAAGCAUUGGAAGGUCGGUGAAUACCCAGCUGAAAUACAAAACUCCACUAUGCAGAUAUUGAAAAGGAGAAGUCCUGUCAAAAACAUGAAGAAAAAAUUGGACAAUCGACUCGCGGUUUCCAGCAAAUUGAAUGAGGGAAAGUUCGGGCUCACAUCAGGGAUUGUAAAUUUGAUGACAAAAGAUGCAGAAAUUUUGAGGCUCCUCAAGAAACUGAAAGUGCAAGCGGUUGAAAUUAACAAGGAUGAAAGUGGUACAGUUAUGGAUCUUUUUUCUUUUCUCUUUUUUUGAAAUUUAAUAUAGUGGGAGUAGCAUUGCCGAUAGGAGUGGUGUUAUUCUAUAUUUGAGAAAAAAUGGAACUGUUGUUUUGUUAUUGAAACUCUUCUAUUUAGGCCUCGACAAGUUCUUUAAUGUUUGGUUACAUUACCAAUAUAUGUGGAUUAUAUUUUGAAUACUGGAAUAGAGAAGCAUGUAUGGAAUGAUUUUUUUGGAAUAGUACAUGUAAUUUAGAGCAUAUGAGUAUAUGUUAUGAUGUUAUUGGGAUAUGAUUAUUAUUUUAUGGUUUGCACUUUUUCCCAAUUGUUAUUGAUAUUAUUAUUCAUAUUGUCAAUAUGAUUUUGUGUAUUUCUUGUGGUAUGUUAUUCUAGAUUUGGAUAUAAAGUUAUAGUUUUGGAGCAAAUAAGGAGGCGGAGCGAUUGGGGCAGAGGUUGGCUGUCUGUGGCAAAUAGCAAUUGCCCAAAAGAGAGAUUUUUUAUAAAGAAAAUAUUGAUGCGGCAGUGAAGUGGAACUCUAGAGAGACACCUUUUCCAGCACAAGGUAGAAGAAACUAAAAUGUAAACUAUGAUAAAUCUCUAAUAAUUAAGUCAUGAAUUUUAAUCGUCUAGCUGUUUAAUUUUGGUUGGGUGCACAUUAUUCUAAAAGUAAAAGAUCAUGAUGGGAAUUGAGUGUUUUUUAGGAUUAAGAGAAGCAUAUAACUAAAGAAGCGCAUGAAUCUUUUAUGUAACCCUCAAUUAGUUGAUUUGAACUCAAACAAUUGUUUCAGUAAAUUAGUUAAAACAUGUCUCUAGAAAACGAGUUGAUAAGUGAAGUUAGUUUCUUAUAAUUUUUUGUUCCUUGCAAUUUAUAAGUGAAGUUCUUGCAAGAACAUGAGGGAAUAUAUCUAUGUUUAUCCUUUUGAUUUUGUUGUUUCUCUAAAAUGUCAGUAUGAUAGAAUGAGAACAUAUAUUAGAAAGUGUUGUAUGUAGGCACAUUGUUUAUGUGGCUAAACUGAUGUGUUAUAUAAUUUUGUAUCGAGCAAUAUCUUCAAGUUAUGACAUAAUUUAUUUUAGUGCACAUCCUACAAGAAAAUGAAUAUCAGGUUUAGGAUCUAAGCUAUUUGAAAAUAAUGGCUUGAAAAGGCUUAGGAUCUAAGCUUUCAAAUGUAUUGACGAUCAAUCCAACUGAAUUGGGUAUAUUGAUAGAGAAAUUAAGGAAAUUUUGGUAAUCUGAGGAAGCUGAGCAUGGGCCUUAACAUGUCGGAAGAGGGGAUGGGAGGAACGUCGGGAUUGGGAGCAUGGGUAAGGUCAUUCAUGUCUUUGAAGCUUUUGGUGGUGCUUCUAUGGAUAAAGGGGAAGUGAAGAAAAAAUAUGAGAAUGUAAGCUCCGGAGGUGACGAAGUAAUAAGUAGGGAUACGGAGUUGGGCGGCGAUGGAAAGGGACUCGCUGCAGAAGAAGUCGAUGAUGGAGGUGGAGACAGUAGAGAUGGAGUCCAGGGCGCGCCAAAAGCUCGGGGUUGCUGCGGUGGAGGACCUCAAAGAUGACGACCUCCAUGGAGGGGGAAGGCGUAGAGGUCGAGGGACACAACGGGGAAGUGGUGGAACCGAUGUUGAAGAAGGGCGGUGCCACCAGGACAGUGAUGAAUAGGGAGGGAUGGUGGUGGAUGAUGAAUUUCUCAAGCUCCACCAUGGACGCCAGGUGGCCCAUUCCUGAAGAUAGCACGAAAGUGACGUCUUCACCAAAGUAAUUAUUACUAUUGCUUUGCAACUUGCACCACGAUUAGAUGGUAGCUCUAUCUAUUCUUUUUCUUUUCUUUCUUUGAAGUUAUGUUAUCUUCAAAAUGAUUUUUGGAAUUUUGAAGUCUAGAAAUUAAAGAAAAUAGAUUAGAAGAUGUAGAGCGAUAUGAAGAAGUAUUUGGAAGAAGCAGAAGAGCUAAGAAGAAAAGCACCAUUUGGGAGAAGAAGCGUAGGAGCGAAGAAGUAGAAGACCAAAAAAGAAAAAGAAAGUUGCGUUAAUACUAAUAUGGAUUCUUAAAUACUAUUGAGCUAAUCAGUUUGGACCAUGAAAUGAAAUAAUUUUAUAUGUUU